rfam:Cucumis melo, WGS project CAJI01000000 data, contig: 12789
AUGCCAUUGUGAGGGCAAAUCUUGAUCAGGUGCUUGUACCUAUUCUACGCAUCACAAAGAGUUUCUCUAUUUUUUUGUUGAAAGUUUGCAAUGUCUCUCCUCUUUUU